UGGGGGAUAUUGCACAAUGGGCGAAAGCCUGAUGCAGCAACGCCGCGUGAGGGAAGACGGUUUUCGGAUUGUAAACCUCUGUCUUCGGUGAAGAAACAAAUGACGGUAGCAGAGGAGGAAGCCACGGCUAACUACGUGCCUGCAGCCGCGGUAAUUCGUAGGUGGCGAGCGUUGUCCGGAAUUACUAGGCGUAAAGGGCAGGCAGGCGGAUCAGUAAGUCGGACGUUUAAUCCUCGGUCUUAAGCUGAGACAUGCGUUUGAUACUGUUGAUCUAGAAUGCGGCGGGGGAAGACGGAAUUCCGGGUGUAGCGGUGGAAUGCGCAGAUAUCCGGGGGAACACCGAAGGCGAAGGCAGUCUUCCAUACCGUAAUUGACGCUGAACUGCGAAGGUGUGGGGAUCAAACA
rnacentral:rRNA from 1 species